GAACCUUACCUGGGCUCGAACGGGUAGUCAACGGCGGUGGAAACAUCGCUACCCCGCAAGGGGGUCUAUUCGAGGUGCUGCAUGGCUGUCGUCAGCUCGUGUCGUGAGAUGUUGGGUUAAGUCCCGCAACGAGCGCAACCCUUGUCCUGUGUUGCCAUCAUUCAGUUGGGAACUCGCAGGAGACCGCCAGCGAUAAGCUGGAGGAAGGUGGGGAUGACGUCAAGUCCUCAUGGCCUUUAUGUCCAGGGCUACACACGUGCUACAAUGGACGGUACAAAGCGCAGCGAACCCGCGAGGGGGAGCCAAUCGCAAAAAACCGUUCUCAGUUCGGAUUGCAGGCUGCAACUCGCCUGCAUGAAGCUGGAAUCGCUAGUAAUGGCAGAUCAGCACGCUGCCGUGAAUACGUUCCCGGGCCUUGUCACACCGA
rnacentral:rRNA from 1 species